rnacentral:rRNA from 1 species
AUUGAACGCUGGCGGCAGGCUUAACACAUGCAAGUCGAACGAGUGGCGGACGGGUGAGUAAUGCUUGGGAAUCUAGCUUACGGAGGGGGAUAACUACGGGAAACUGUAGCUAAUACCGCGUACCAUAGGAUGAGCCCAAGUGGGAUUAGUUAGUUGGUGAGGUAAAGGAUCACCAAGCCGACGAUCUCUAGCUGGUCUGAGAGGAUGACCAGCCACACGAGGACUGAGACACGGCCCAGAUUCCUACGUGAGGCAGCAGUGGGGAAUAUUGCGCAAUGGGGGCAACCUGACGCAGCCAUGCCGCGUGAAUGAAGAAGGCCUUCGGGUUGUAAAGUUCUUUCGGUAGCGAGGCGUUAACUACAGAAGAAGCACCGGCUAACUCCGUGCCAGCAGCCGCGGUAAUUC